rnacentral:misc_RNA from 1 species
GAUGAAGAACGCAGCGAAAUGCGAUAAGUAAUGUGAAUUGCAGAAUUCAGUGAAUCAUCGAAUCUUUGAACGCACAUUGCGCCCGCCAGUAUUCUGGCGGGCAUGCCGGUUCGAGCGUCAUUACAACCCUCAGGCCCCCGGGCCUGGCGUUGGGGAUCGGCGGAAGCCCCCUGCGGGCACAACGCCGUCCCCCAAAUACAGUGGCGGUCCCGCCGCAGCUUCCAUUGCGUAGUAGCUAACACCUCGCAACUGGAGAGCGGCGCGGCCACGCCGUAAAACACCCAACUUCUGAAUGUUGACCUCGAAUCAGGUAGGAAUACCCGCUGAACUUAAGCAUAUCAAUAAGCGGAGGA